ACCAAAUGAUAGACACUAAUCUCCAUUUCUUAGAAAUGAGGAAAUAAAACCACAAAAUGUACAAAGUCAGAUCUAAAACCCCUACCUUUGGGUCCAGACUUUUCUUCUAAAGUUCUGCAGUUAUACCCAGAUGCCACAGAAACAUAGGAUCUUAGAGGAGAAGUAACUUAGCAUUUCAUGGAUGGUGCUGCAUCUGUAAGCGAGGAUGGACAAAUGUGUCCAGAACAAGCAGUUGUAACUAUUGUGAGGCCCCAUCUGGAACAGAAGGAGAAGAGACAUUCUAGGGAGGAACACACCAAUGUGUGCAUGAGGAGCAUUUGGAAACAGGUAGGAUGGAUAAUAAGACUUUGGGUUUCUAUGACACUUUUCACAAGGACAUUUAGAAAUGUAUAAAGAUUAUUCCCCAAGCCCUCUCUUCAACUGGGUUAAGAGCAAGAAUAAUUUUCAUGUUUUAUCAAGAAAAACCAGAAUAAGGAGAAUUGUCUCUACUCUGCCAGCUUUACCCAGCUCAGAAACCAAGUCCCACCCUUCUGAGAUUAGAGACAUCGUCUGUCAGACUCACUGCCUCUCCCCAGCCUCUCUUUGGUUCUCUACUUUGUAUAAACCAAUGUUCUUGGCUCCUUAUUUAAUCUUAAAAUCAAUGUUGGGUGAAUCAGUCAGAAUAUUUGGACAUUCUGUUCAGAAAACAUUGUAAAUUGAUCAAGAUUUGCUUGUCCUGCAAAACUCUCCUGGCAUUCUUAAUAGCAGUCUUCUGUCCUCAGAUGACCUCAUGAAAUGUAGAGUUUGUGUGAGGAGAUGAUAUGGACAAUUUCCCCAUUGCCCUGAAAGAGACACACCCUGUUACACUACUUUGCCUUCAUCCAUGCUGUCCUCUCUUCCCAGCAUGCCUUUCUUCCCUGCCUGCGUCCACCUUCAAUGUUCUUAUGUGCCUUCUAAAAUUAAGUUUGACUACUAUCAUCCCCCUCAUCAAGGCUUCACACACAUACUUCAUUUCUCCUUCUUAACAAAGCCCCAAUUUUGUUCAAGUCCCACUCACUCCUCUCCCACAAGAUGUGUGUCUGAAGAAAGGUGUUGAUCUUAGUCCCAUCUGCAUGAAAGGACUAAUCAACAUAAGCAAAAUCUCAGUCCCUUUGCCAGGGAUUGGCUAAAGAAUUGUCAUACAGUCUUGGCCAAUCAGACAGGAGGGAAAGCUUGUGAAGGGCUCUCAGUCCUCAUUAGUAAGAUGGGGACCAAGAAAGAGAUGGUCAGCCCUCUUCCCCUAGUUGUGCCAUGUCUGACUGUGGCCUUAGGGUGGCUGCCUUCCUCUCAGCAACAAGCCAAGUAGGCCAGCUGGCUUCUUAGUAACACUCCAUGUUCACUUAACUCUGAGAGUCUCAGUUUCCUCUUUUUCAAAAUGAGGAAGUUGACCUCAAUUAUCCGUAGCUUCCUUUUAACUUUAGAAUACCACACAUGCCUCUAAAAGAUGAUGGGGGAGGAGAUAUGGAGGAGGAUCUAGGAAGUGAAGAAGGCCACUUAAUUUCAUCUGUAGCUCUAACCAUCUGCUGCUAUUAACAUGAGCAAGCAGCUAUUUGCAUUUUAUGACUGGGUGAUCUCAACUCUCUAGUUUAAGAAACAAGUACUAAUCUUGGUUUAACCACUAAAAUAUCCUCACAUUUCCCCAUUCCCCGAAGUGAAUCUAUUAAUAUCCCUUUAUCUUGUUUGGUAAACAAAAUGUUUUUUACUAACAUUAAAUGAAAAGGGUAGUACAAUUCAAGUUUAGGAACCAAAAAGAUUUUUUUCCCCUUAAUUUCAAGUUAAACCAUUUUAUUCUCCUUCUGUAAUUGUUCCAAAACCACCCAAGAAGACCUAAAGAAUUUGUAAAUGGAGAAGUAUGGAAAAAAAUUUUUUUUAAUGCAGGAUUACAUUGCUUAAGGUUAGUAGGUCUUAGCUUGCUUCGAAAUGUUAAGAGACUUAAGUUGAAGCACCAUCUAGUGGCUCUCAAUUGUGUUCUGCUAAAAAUUGCUCCCAGUCUCCCUGUAUUUAGGACCACAGUUAAUUUGUUGGGCAUGUAUAUCAUUGACCCUGGAACAGCAAGUUGAAAGUGCACAGAUCUACUUAUAUGUGGAUUUCUUCCACUUCUGCGUCCCCUGAGACAGCAAAACCAACCUCUCUACUUCCUCCUCCUCUUCAGUCUACUCAAUGUGAAGACAACAAGGAUGAAGACCUUUAUGAUGAUUUACUUCCGCUUAAUAAAUAUCUUCAGUUCCUACCUGACAUGAUUUAUCCUCUGGAAGAAAACAAAUCCUGUGGUGACCAGAAUGACCACAAAAAGAGAGAGUUUCACAUAAAGAAUGAUCAGUAAGGACAACGCUGGAGAUCCUGAGUUAAAUGUACAAGAGAGAAAACAGUGCUGGAUGAACAUUACAGAUUAUAAAUCAUCUAAGGAAUUCAGAACGUUUAAUCAACUCUAACACAGAGGUCAGGGAGAAGCAGGACUUGAAAUGGACCUUGCUGGUCUGCGGGAUUGAAUAGGUUAAAAGAAAGACUUUUCAAGAUAAAGAACUAAUUUGAGAAAAGUUUUAAAGAUGAGUUUACCUAAGUCAUAUUUGGAGCAUAGAAUGGAAUAUGUAGAGAUGAGUCUGCAAUGAUUUGAACCUAAUUCUGCAGUGACUUGUAUGUGUCAGCAACUGUGCCAGACUUUAGGAAUACAAAAAUAAAAGUAGUGGUUCCAACUCUCAAGGACCUUACACUGUGCUGAGAGUCACAGAAGUAAGUGGUUGUAAUAUGAUAAGCAAUAUGUAUGUAUUUGGUCUUUGUCCCCCAGUUCCUGGCACACUUCCAAGGAUUUUUCCUAAACUUCUUGGAAGUUCCACAGUGAUCCAUCUUUUGUAUGCUAAUGAGAUGAGUGGUGGCUGGGAGCCUGAAGACAGCUUCAGGAUGGGGCUGGUAAUUAGAAAGACCAAGACAUGGUUAGAGGGUUGAAACUUUCAGCCCCACACCACCACUCUCCCCUUCCAUUGACCUCCUGGGAGGGGAGAGGGGCUAGAGAUUAAGCUAAAAACCAAUGCCCAACAAUUUAAUCAAUCAUACCUAUGUAAUAGAGCCUCCACAAAAACUCUACAUGACAGAGUCUGGAGAGCUUCUGGGUUGGGAGAUUUUCUGAGCUGGUGAACACACUGAGGGGCUGGGAGGUUGGCACUCCCAGAGACAUCACGGAAGCUCCUUCCCCCAUACCUUGCCCUAUGCAUCUCUUUUUAUCUUUUUUUGUCUGUUCCUGAGUUGGACACUUUACAAUAAAUUAGUAAUAGUAAAUAAGUGCAUUCCUGAGUGUCAAAUUUAAAAAUCUAAGCUGUUGGAAUUUUAAAAUAUGUUGAGCCUUAACGGAAUGUGAUUAUGAGACCUGAGUUAUGUAAACAAGCAGCUAUGACCUAGGCAGCCAAAAUUUUUGUUUACCUGAUUGUACAUUAGCCUUUUUCCUUGCCUACAUUGUUUUGUAAACUGCUGUAAAUGAUUAAAGGGUGCCAGGGAAGACGUAUUCCCUCUAAACUGUUGAUCUUCAUUAUUGAUUAACUUCCUUCUUUCUUCUCUCAUACAAUGACUACCACAUUGCCUAACAUGAAAUGUUAACUGUACUCUUAAAAUUGGAAAGGAAAUGAAAACAAACUGUACAGAAAAGAAAACAAACUGUAACUUUAAUUAAAUCAUUAUAACUCAUAAACCAGCUUUGUAUGUAAAAAGGGUAUAAUCCUACUGAAUUUGUUUUCUGCCUAUAUAAGCAAGACCUUAAGUUUGAAGUUUGAAGCACUGACCCCAUUCCUUUGGAGUCUGUGUUACCCGAAUGGCUGUUCUCAGACUUUUGCUUAAAUAAACUCUUUUAAACUGGA
rnacentral:lncRNA from 1 species